UACAUAGGGUGCAAGCGUUGUCCGGAAUUAUUGGGCGUAAAGAGCUCGUAGGUCGUUUGUUACGUCGGAUGUGAAAACCUGAGGCUCAACCUCAGGCCUGCAUUCGAUACGGGCAAACUAGAGUUUGGUAGGGGAGACUGAAUUCCUGGUGUAGCGGUGGAAUGCGCAGAUAUCAGGAGGAACACCAAUGACGAAGGCAGGUCUCUGGGCCAAUACUGACACUGAGGAGCGAAAGUCUGGGAGCGAACAGG
rnacentral:rRNA from 1 species